UACGUAGGGUGCGAGCGUUGUCCGGAAUUAUUGGGCGUAAAGGGCUCGUAGGCGGUUUGUAGCGUCGGGAGUGAAAUCCACUGGCUUAACUGGUGGCUUGCUUUCGAUACGGGCAGACUGGAGGUAUGCAGGGGAGAACGGAAUUCCUGGUGUAGCGGUGAAAUGCGCAGAUAUCAGGAGGAACACCGGUGGCGAAGGCGGUUCUCUGGGCAUGUCCUGACGCUGAGGAGCGAAAGUGUGGGGAGCGAACAGG
rnacentral:rRNA from 1 species